rnacentral:rRNA from 1 species
AGUGAACGCUGGCGGCAGGCCUAAUACAUGCAAGUCGAACGGCAGCACAGUAAGAUUUCGCUUUUACCGUUGGCGGGUGGCGGAUGGGUGAGGAGUAGGUCGCAUUCCUCUUUUUCGUGGGGGAUAACGGAGGGCAACUUACGCUAACACCUCAUAUGACCUACGGGAUAAAUCUGGGGAUCAUCGGACCUUGCGCGUCUGAAUGAGCUGAUGUCGGAUUAGCUAGUUGGCUGGGUAAAGGCCCACCAAGGCGACGAUCCGUAGCUGGUCUGAGAGGAUGAUCAGCCACACUGGAACUGAGACACGGUCCAGACUCCUACGGGAGGCAGCAGUAGGGAAUAUUCGACAAUGGGCGCAAGCCUGAUCCAGCAAUACCGCGUGAGUGAAGAAGGCCUUCGGGUCGUAAAGCCCUUUUAUUAGGAAAGAAAAGCAGCAGAAUAAUACCCCGCUGUUCUGACGGUACCCAAAGAGAAAGCACCGGCUAACUUCGUG